AGGUGUGCGCCACUACCGCCCCGCAUAGGUCCCUCCCGAAGCUGCGAGCUCGGUUGAAGAGGAUGACCUUCCCCGAAUAGAGGAGGACUGGUCUUCGGUCAAGGGUAUACGAGUAGCUGCGCUCCCCUGCUAGAACCUCCAAACAAGCUCUCAAGGUCACCAUUUUUUUAGUGGUAGCUGCUUAUGUCACUUUAUAUAUUUGAUUUUUCAUACAGAGAAGGUGUGAUGGAGUUCUUA
rnacentral:snRNA from 1 species